GCGUGGGAGAAGGCUUGGUUGUAACCUUAGGAAAGAUGUCUAGAAUAGCACCGGUAACUCUGCCACGCCCGUACAGGUGCAGCUUAUCGGAAUUACUGGGCGUAGCGCAGGUGUAAGACGGUGAAAGCCCGGCUACCUGAAUGCACUGAGCUGAGUGUGAGGGGUGGAAUCCGUGUACAGUAAAUGCGUAAGAUGGAGAACACCGUGCAAGGCCUGACGUGGGGAGCAAACAGGAUUAGAUACCCUGGUAGUCCACGCCCUAACGAUGGACUGGUGUUUACAAUAACGCGUGAAGCCGCCUGGGGUCGGUCGCAAGAUAAAAAGGAUGACGGGCGCAAGCGGUGGAUGGGUUAAUUCAACAAAACUCCCUGACGUACGGUGAUGC
rnacentral:rRNA from 1 species